rnacentral:tRNA from 1 species
ACCCUUGUAGCUCAGUUGGUUAGAUCGUCGUGCUUAUAUCACGAAUGUCCCUGGUUCGAGCCCAGGUAAGGGUA